rnacentral:lncRNA from 1 species
CCUUCCACAAAGUAUUCUCCUCCAGGGGCGUGGCAAAUGGAGGGAGUACUGAGCUCUGGCUUCUGCACCACAAAGUCAUCUGGGAAAUGACACAAAAUCAGAACACAUUAUUCAUCUGCAAUCUUUCCAACUCUUGAAAGCCUGGUGCUGUUUGCUUUAAGGGAUAGAAGAGAUGAACUGUGAAGAGCAUCUCGCUCUAUUCUUAUUAAGAGAAUAGUGAAGAAAAUAUUCCAUGCAUGGAAACAGAAGACAAUGGCAAAAGAGCUAAUAUUAGGACGUGAGGUUCAAGUGGUUUAAGUCUGUCAACAGUAAUAAGAGAAUUCAAUAAGAUCAUUAAAUUACAGGGAGGGGACUCCCACUCUAGAGAUGAGAACAGGGGCCUCUUCUGGCAUUUCUGUGAAUGUGUAGGAACUGUCUCGGAUUCAGAUCUCUCAUUUACAGAAUACUUGGUACGGUUCAGUUAUUUCCAUGCUAAGCACUUCACAUGUGUUAUUUCAUUUAUUCCUUACAGUCACCUUAUUUUAUGCAUGAGGAAACUGAGAGCUCAGGGAGAGACGAGGGAAACUGCAACCCAAGUCUAUGGUUGUUUGGAUCAUGGAUAUGUCUCCAGAUUAAAUAAAACUUCCAAAUGAUCGAUGCCCUAUCUGCUUUAUUAUUUCUGGGAUCCUGAGUACUUUUAUGCUUGGAAAUAUGUCCUGCUGUCGAGCAGGCCACACCCCAAUCUAAGCCAGCUGCCAGCAAACUGAGCAGGAAUGCUCCUGUAGAAUCAACAGUCUGAAAACCCUCACCUGAGACUAAACAUGUGCUUGGCAAUAUCAUCAUGAAGAGAGGUAAAUGCUGGCAGGCUGGUGAAAACUAUCAUUUCUUUCCCCAGAGGAGAGGUAGUUUUGGUCUCUUGGAGAGAUGACACUGAUAGAGAGGGAAUUUAAUGUUGAAAAUGUCUGAAGAGGGGCUGGGAGUUGCCCUGAAGUUUUGCUGGGGAAAUGAGAAGUAUGAAGACAUUAACCAUAGUCACGUAAUCCAA